GAUGAAGAACGUAGCGAAAUGCGAUAAGUAAUGUGAAUUGCAGAAUUCAGUGAAUCAUCGAAUCUUUGAACGCAUCUUGCGCUCCUUGGUAUUCCGAGGAGCAUGCCUGUUUGAGUGUCAUUAAAGUUCUCAACCACAUUACUACAUAUGUGGCUUGGAUGUGGGGGUUUGCAGGCUUUCUCUGAGGGUCUGCUCCUCUGAAAUGUAUUAGUGGUAUCUGAGCUACUACAGGUGUGAUAAUUAUCUAUGCCUUGGUAUGCUGCAUAAAACAGAUUGCGCCGCUUCUAAUGACAAUUUUGAUAAAUUUGACCUCAAAUCAGGUAGGACUACCCGCUGAACUUAAGCAUAUCAAUAAGCGGAGGA
rnacentral:misc_RNA from 1 species